rnacentral:rRNA from 1 species
UACAGAGGGUGCAAGCGUUGUUCGGAAUUAUUGGGCGUAAAGCGCGCGCAGGCGGUCAUUUAAGUCUGGUGUAUAAUCCUAGGGCUCAACCUUGGGUCGCACUGGAAACUGGAUGACUUGAGUGCAGAAGAGGAGAGUGGAAUUCCACGUGUAGCGGUGAAAUGCGUAGAGAUGUGGAGGAACACCAGUGGCGAAGGCGACUCUCUGGGCUGUAACUGACGCUGAGGCGCGAAAGCGUGGGGAGCAAACAGG